rnacentral:rRNA from 1 species
GACAGAGGUGCCGAGCGUUAGGCGGAAUCACUGGGCUUAAAGCGUGUGUAGGCGGACCGUUAAGUACCUUGUGAAAUCCCACGGCUCAACCGUGGAACGGCUGGGUAUACUGGCGGUCUUGGGCCACCUAGGGGUCAUCGGAACAGGCGGUGGAGCGGUGAAAUGCGUAGAUAUCGCCUGGAACGCCGACGGUGAAAACAGAUGACUGGGGGUGUGCCGACGCUGAGACACGAACGAGCCAGGGAGACGGAACGGG